AUUGAACGCUGGCGGCAGGCUUAACACAUGCAAGUCGAACGAAGUGGCGAACGGGUGAGUAACGCGUAAUCAACCUGCCCUUCAGAGGGGGACAACAGUUGGAAACGACUGCUAAUACCGCAUACUGACGGAGGGGAUUGCGUCUGAUGAGCUAGUUGGCGGGGUAACGGCCCACAAAGGCGAUGAUCAGUAGCAGGUCGACGAGGAUGAACGGCCACAUUGCGACUGAGACGCGGCCCAGAGUACUACGGAAGGAAGCAUUGGGGAAGCAUCCGCAAUGGACGAAAGUCGGGCGGAGCAACGCCGGGUGAGUGAUGACGGCCUGCGGGUUGUAAGCUCUUUAAAUCGGGACGCGGUAACGGAGUAGAAAGACACGGCUAACUAGGUGCCAGCAGCCGCGGUAAUUC
rnacentral:rRNA from 1 species